AGAGUUUGAUCCUGGCUCAGAACGAACGUUGGCGGCGUGGAUUAGGCAUGCAAGUCGGGGGAAUCUCCCGCAAGGGAGGGAACCGGCGUAAGGGGCAGUAAGGCAUGGGUACCUACCCCGGGGUUCGGGAUAGCCAUCAGAGAUGGUGGGUAAUACCGGAUGACCUCGUGAGAGCAAAGAUUUAUCGCCCUGGGAGGGGCCCAUGUGAUAUUAGCUAGUUGGUGGGGUAACGGCUCACCAAGGCUAAGAUGUCUAGCGGGUAUGAGAGUACGACCCGCGCCACUCGCACUGAGACACUGGCGAGACACCUACGGGUGGCUGCAGUCGAGGAUCUUCGGCAAUGGGCGAAAGCCUGACCGAGCGACGCCGCGUGCGCGAUGAAGGCCUUCGGGUUGUAAAGCGCUUUAGUGGGGGAGAAAAGCCCGAAAGGGUUUGAUAUCCCAAAAAUAAGCUCGGGCUAAGUUCGUGCCAGCAGCCGCGGUAAGAC
rnacentral:rRNA from 1 species